UUCGCAAUGCCCGAAAGGGUGACGAAGCGACGCCGCGUGCGGGAAGGAGGCCUUCGGGUUGUAAACCGCUGUCGGGAGUUAGGAAAUGCAAGGAUGUUAAUAGCGUCUUUGCUUGACUAAGGCUCCGGAGGAAGCCACGGCUAACUCUGUGCCAGCAGCCGCGGUAAUACAGAGGCGGCAAGCGUUGUUCGGAAUUAUUGGGCGUAAAGAGCACGUAGGCGGCUGUGUAAGUCGGUUGUGAAAGCCUUCCGCUCAACGGGAGAACGGCAUCCGAUACUGCAUGGCUCGAGUGCGGGAGGGGAGAGUGGAACUUCUGGUGGAGCGGUGAAAUGCGUAGAUAUCAGAAGGAACACCGGCGGCGAAGGCGACUCUCUGGCCCGUAACUGACGCUGAGUGUGCGAAAGCUAGGGGAGCAAACGGGAUUAGAUACCCCGGUAGUCCUAGCCGUAAACGAUGGGCACUAAGUAGAGGGGUUUU
rnacentral:rRNA from 1 species